rnacentral:rRNA from 1 species
AUGGCAGAGCCCUGCAAGAUUCCUGCUGCCAUGGUAGCCGAAUCCGUGGAGAGGUCAUAUGUGCUCAAAAUAGAUGGAUACUCAAGAGUGAAGGGGCUACUGAAGAACGGCAAGUUCGUCGCCUCCACCCCUUUCAGUGUUGGAGGCCACAACUGGACCGUGAAAUAUUACCCGAACGGUUGCCCCAAGUACUGUGACGAUUUCAUAUCUCUGUAUGUGCACCAUGAAUCUGCCGGUGCCAAAGAAGUGAAGGCGAAAUUGUCGCUCAAUGUGCUUGACAAGAAUGGGAAUCCGGUGCCUUCCUACACCCGUACCACCCCUGUGAAUACUUUCUCAAGGAAAGCUCCGACCUGUGGCUACUAUGACUUCAUCCCGAAGGAUGAGCUUGAGGAGUCGGCGCAUCUUAGAGGUGACUGUCUCACCAUCAGGUGCGAUGUUACCGUCUUGAAGGAGAUCGAAGAAGCAAUGGUUCCUCCAAGCGACCUGCACCGGCACCUCGGUGAUCUCCUGAAGAGCAAUGAUGCAGCGGACAUGACCUUUCAAGUUGACGGACAGAGAUACUCCGCUCAUCGGUGUGUUGUUGCCGCUCGGUCGUCCGUCUUCAAGGCGGAGCUCCUCGGCGCCAUGGAGGAGAGUUCCGGUAGUACCAUUGUAAUCCGUGACAUGGAAGCUGAUGUGUUCGAGUCCUUUCUCCAUUUCAUAUACACCGACUCGGUUCCUCCAGCGCUUGAUGUGGUGAUGGCCGGACAUCUACUCGUGGCGGCUGACAGGUACAACAUCGGUAGGCUGAAGGUGAUAUGCGAGGAGAAAUUAUGCAGUCACAUUGAUUCCAACAUGGUGGCUACCAGCUUGGCUUUGGCUGAGCAACAUGGUUUCCGUCGUCUCAAGGAAGCUUGUUUGCAGUUCCUUGCUUCUCCGUCCAAUUUGGAGGCCAUGAUGACAAGUGAUGGCUAUGAGCAUCUGAAAUCCAGCUGCCCAGCUGUUCUUAAGGAGCUGAUAGCUAGAAUCAUCCCGGCUGAAUUUACAUCAGCAAAGGAUAUUAUCAUGACAAUGUGGAAGUAA